CCUCCUGCGCCGUCCUGUCCCUCCCUACACGUGUAGAGAGGGCAGCCUACUUUGAACAGGAGGUGGAAGUCCCCGCCGUGCUGAGCUCCUCCGAGGACAACGACGAGGACGACGUGUUAUCAGUGGAGGACGGUUCUACGCAGAGCCCCGCUCCCCUGACCCAAGCAAGCUCGCUCCCUUCCCACGUGGGCUGUGGUGGCGGUUCCCACGUCUCUCCUUCUCUCCGGGGAGAACUCGAGGACGACCUCUCUUCAGCUGUAUGAUUGAGAGAGCAGCUCUACGCAUCCAGCUGCCCUUGCCUCCUCUGCCUACACCUAAACAGCCUCGGAUAUGUCCUUCGGUUCCUGGGCUGAGCGAGUGAAACCGGUGGACUCCCCUGCUCCUGAAGUCCGUGGUUUUAAGGGCUUCGCCGAGGGCUCCUGGUCUGCUCCAGCUUCUGCCAGGGCGCCUAUCAGAUCCUACGCUACUUUCACCAAGGUCCAGGGUCGUCUCGCCCCCAUCAGCUCUGCCACUCCGCCGUUGGAACCCGAGCUGGCCGCUCACUUCCUUCCUUCCUGGGGAUGGUCCGGCAAGAAGCCUGCCUUGCCUUCUACCAAGGACCGUUUUUCAGGACAGCUUUGGGACAAGGUGUACGUUCUGGGAUCUCAAGCCCUGGCCGCGGCGAACAACGUUGCUCUGCUCGCGUCAGCGUCUUCCCACAUCUUGGACCGUUCAUCUUCCCCGUCGUCACGUGACGUCGAGGAAGUAGCAGCUAACCUUAAGGCAAUCCUCCACCUUAACCAGGCUCAGACUGUCUGCGCUGGGCGCUCUGUGGCGUCGGCCGUCGUCGGUCACCGUCAUCUGUGGCUCUCCCUCUCCUCUCUACGUGAGUGUGAUCGUGCACCCCUCCUCAACGCUCCUCUCUCCCAGGAGGGCUUGUUCGGCGACGCUGUCCACACGGCCAUAGCGUCUUUUAAGAAGACUGACGAGGGACGGAAGGAGCUAUCCCGGCACCUUCCCUUAGCCGGUUCAUCUGCCCGACGGUCCUCCUCCUCUUCUCAUCGCCGGGGUUCUUCCGCCAAACGUCGCCAGCGCCGUCAUGUCUCUGCCACCGCCUCCACUGCUGCCCCAGCUCCUCCUGCCACGGCUUCAGCUCCUGCUCCUCCUCCGGUGCGUUGUAGACUACCCGCUCCCAAACUCAGCGUUCCCUGGCCGGCCAAGAAGCCCAGACCAUCCUGACUAGGCGUGGAGCGGCCCUCACGGCCCCCGUCUCUUCCUUCACCAAAAGAGCAAGGGCUGAGUCUGACGGCGUCGCAGACUCGGCCCAGCAUUCUUUACAUUUUAAUAAACAGGC
rnacentral:lncRNA from 1 species